rnacentral:RNase_P_RNA from 1 species
GCGGAUGGCUGGAUGACCGCGGGGCGAAUGCCUCGAGGAAAGUCCGGACUCCAUGAGGUAAGGGUGCCGGGUAACGCCCGGCGGGGGCAACCCCAGGGAAAGCGCCACAGAGAAGAGUCUGCCCUGCAUGCAGGGUGAUGGUGAAACGGUGGGGUAAGAGCCCACCGCGGACCGGGCAACCGGGACGGCACGGCAAGCCCCACCCGGAGCAAUGCCGAAUAGGGACCUUGCGCGGAAAGGUCUGCGACUGCCGAAAGGCGAUGGCAGAGACCUCCGCAGGGACACUUCAGCCCAGAGGUCCGGGUUGGCAGCUUGACCGCCGUGGCAACACGAGCGGCAGAGGAAUGGUCAUCCAGGGGGGAAACCCCCGGACAGAAUCCGGCUUACAGGCCAUCCGCGCAA